UACGGAGGGGGCUAGCGUUGUUCGGAACUACUGGGCGUAAAGCGCACGUAGGCGGCUUUGUAAGUUAGAGGUGAAAGCCCAGGGCUUAACCCUGGAAUUGCCUUUAAGACUGCAUCGCUAGAAUCGUGGAGAGGUGAGUGGAAUUCCGAGUGUAGAGGUGAAAUUCGUAGAUAUUCGGAAGAACACCAGUGGCGAAGGCGACUCACUGGACACGUAUUGACGCUGAGGUGCGAAAGCGUGGGGAGCAAAGCAGG
rnacentral:rRNA from 1 species